GAUGAACGCUGGCGGCGUGCCUAAUACAUGCCAGUCGAGCGAACGGACGAGGAGCUUGCUUCUCUGAUGUUAGCGGCGGACGGGUGAGUAACACGUGGAUAACCUACCUAUAAGACUGGGAUAACUUCGGGAAACCGGAGCUAAUACCGGAUGAUAUUUUGAACCGCAUGGUUCAAAAGUGAAAGACGGUCUUGCUGUCACUUAUAGAUGGAUCCGCGCUGCAUUAGCUAGUUGGUAAGGUAACGGCUUACCAAGGCAACGAUGCAUAGCCGACCUGAGAGGGUGAUCGGCCACACUGGAACUGAGACACGGUCCAGACUCCUACGGGAGGCAGCAGUAGGGAAUCUUCCGCAAUGGGCGAAAGCCUGACGGAGCAACGCCGCGUGAGUGAUGAAGGUCUUCGGAUCGUAAAACUCUGUUAUUAGGGAAGAACAUAUGUGUAAGUAACUGUGCACAUCUUGACGGUACCUAAUCAGAAAGCCACGGCUAACUACGUG
rnacentral:rRNA from 1 species